rnacentral:rRNA from 1 species
GGUUUCUUGAUUUUAAUGAGAGAUCUGACCUGCCCAAUGAAUAAAUUUAAUGGCCGCGGUAUUUUGACCGUGCGAAGGUAGCAUAAUCAUUACUCUUUUAAUUGUAGACUGGAAUGAAUGGUUGGACGAAAUAAUGACUUUUUUGGUUAUAAUUAUUGAAUUUAAUUUUUUAGUGAAGAAGCUGAAAUGGGACCAAAAGACAAGAAGACCCUAUCAAGUUUUAUUACAGGUUCAUUUAUUCACUAUAGGUUGUUUUGUAAUUGAGAUGUAAUUUUACUGGGGCGGUGAAUUAAAACUAAUUAUUGAUCCAGAAAUUUUGAUUGUUUGUUUAAAUUACUGUAGGGAUAACAGCGUAAUCUUAUUUGAGAGUUCAUAUCGACAAUAAGGGUUGCGACCUCGAUGUUGGAUUAGAAUUCCUUUUUGGAGCAGAAUCUAAAAGUGGUGGUCUGUUCGACCAUUGAAAUUCUACA